CACGUAGGGCGCAAGCGUUGUCCGGAAUUAUUGGGCGUAAAGAGCUCGUAGGUGGUUUGCUGCGUCCGCUGUGAAAACCCAAGGCUUAACCUUGGCUUGCAGUGGAUACGGGCAGACUAGAGGUAGGUAGGGGAGAAUGGAAUUCCCGGUGUAGCGGUGAAAUGCGUAGAGAUCGGGAGGAACACCAGAGGCGAAGGCGGCGACCUGGACAGUUACUGACACUCAACUACGAAAGCGUGGGGAGCAAACAGG
rnacentral:rRNA from 1 species